rfam:Nematostella vectensis strain CH2 x CH6 NEMVEscaffold_40_Cont6582, whole genome shotgun sequence.
CCUUCGAUAGCUCAGUUUGUAGAGCGGGGGACUGUAGAUUUAUAAUUGUGAUCCCUAGGUCGCUGGUUCGAAUCCGGCUCGAAGGA